rnacentral:rRNA from 1 species
UACGUAGGAUCCGAGCGUUGUCCGGAUUUACUGGGUGUAAAGGGUGCGCAGGCGGACUGGUAAGUCAGAGGUGAAAUCUCGUCGCUUAACGACGAAACUGCCUUUGAUAUUAUCAGUCUUGAAUCCGGUAGAGAUCUGUGGAAUUCCGAGUGUAGCAGUGAAAUGUGUAGAUAUUCGGAAGAACACCAGUGGCGAAGGCGGCGAUCUGGGAAGAUACUGACGCUGAGGUGCGAAAGCGUGGGGAGCAAACAGG